GUGUUUGUUAAAUGUUGAACAGAUUAAUGGCGAUAUGGUGACAAUCGACAGCGUUUAUAUAUAAGCAGAUUAGUUUAUCGUUAAUAUAUAAAAUUACAUGACGCGAUGUCACGGCUGAUCCGCGAAAAUUAACGAGAAUGGCGUUUCUACCAGACAGGAAGUAUCAAUAUAUUUGGUUGUCAAACGUCAACAAUCAACAGAACUAAAUAGUUACGUUUUAUCCAGAAUUCUAAUCAUUGAAGCCUGUAUAGUUCUAACACAAUUUUUAUCUUACGUGAAGAACAAUGACAUGUAACCAAUGACAAAGUUAAGAGGCGUGACUUGCUGGAGGCGCCAGCUGCAACGUAAAGACAGUAAUUAAACCCGCAGCAUCCACAGAAGUCAGCUGUUGUUUCAAGCGAGUAUAUCGUUUCUGUUGUUGAGCGGAAUUAAACACCAGCCGUGUUUGGUAAACACAUUUUUGGGCCUUCAAAUCUUGAUUGAGGACAGCCCGGUGAUGAUACAGAGUACGGACACCCUACCAUGUGGCUGCACAGUAUGAGGGGAUUUCUGUUUCAUUGUUUUCUUUCAUGCUUGAAAGCUGAAGGAUGUCACCUGCAUAGAGGAACUAUGACGUCGGUAACCGGGAGUUGCUGGUAGUCAAGGCUGCACUAGAGGAAUGGCGUCACUGGCUGGAGGGGGCUGAACACCCCUUCAUUGUUAGAACGGAUCACAAAACUCUAGAAUACAUCAGGACGGCAAAACGCCUCAACUCCCGUGAAGCCAGAUGGGCAUUGUUUUUGCAGGUUUUUCUUUUUCCAUAACCUUCAGGCCCGGUUCCAAGAACGGGAAACCCGAUGCCCUAUCCUGGGUUUACGACAAGGAGGAGUUUGUUUCCCGAAGACCUGACUCCAUCCCCAGCCAGUGCGUCAUCGGUACCAUCACCUGGAAGGUGGAGGAGGACAUAAGAGCAGCACUCAAGAACGACCCAGGCCCCGGUAACGUGCCUCCUAUAUGUUCACGACGCCCUCUGUCCUACAGUGUUGAAAUGGGCCCAUGCUUCCCACCUGACUUGCCACCCUGGCAUCGGCCGCACCAAAGCAUUUCUUAAUAGGAGGUUCUGGUGGCCGUCUGUCAAUACGGAUGUCAGGUUGUAUGUUACUGCUUGUCCCACCUGUGCUCUCAACAAAGGUUCCAACCAGCCCAGUUCCGGUCAACUACACCCCUUGCCUGUCCUGAAACGUCCUUGGUCCCACCUGUCCUUGGACUUGGUUACCGGAUUACCCCCUCUGAUGGUAACACUGUGAUAUUAACUGUUGUCGACCGGUUCACAAAAUAUGCCUACUACAUUCCUCUGCCCAAGCUCCUGUCUGCCAGAGAAAUGGCAGACCUUCUUGUCAGAGAGGUCUUUCAACGCCAUGUCAGAGAGGUCUUUCAACGCCACGGCCUGCCCUCAGAUGUGGUGUCCGACCAAGGUCCCAAAUUCACAUCCAAUGUGUGGAAGGAAUUCUGCCACGCCAUCGGGGCCUCUGUCAGCCUGUCUUCCGGCUACCACCCUCAGUCGAACGGCCAGGCAGAGAGGGCCAACCAGAAGAUGGAGUCGACCCUUCGCUGCCUGGCCUCCUCUGACCCCACUCACUGGUCCUCCCAUCUCCCCUGGGUCGCUUACGCCCACAACACACAGCUUCCCACAGCUGCCACAGGUAUGUCCCCAUUUCAGAAUCUAUAUGGUUACCAACUCCCCUUGUUCCCUGCUCAGGCCCGGGGGGUCUAGUUCCUCGUCAACUGGGAGGGUUAUGAGCCUGAAGAGAGGAGCUGGAUUCCCCGCGGUCAUAUCCUGGAUGCCUCCCUCGUCAGGAUUCUGACAUCACUAGACAAGCAAAGAAGGGUUUGCUGGUCCUGACGGCCCGCCUCUGGACCGCUCUGGACUUGACAUUGGACAACAACAUAUUACCCAGCAAUCAUCAUUGCAGAUCUGUAUAUAAAAAAUACUGAAGAAAAUUUGAAAUUAUUAAUUUUGUUGAAUCGUUUUUUAUAGUUUAUAUAUAGUUUUAUAAUGUAUGCAGAAUAAGCACAUCAUUUUGUUAUAGAUUAAUAGUGACUAUUUUACCCAAGAGAAUGAAAACCAUGACGGAGAAGGGAUUGCCUUUUCGAGGGCAUAGCAAAUGGCACCAUUUCUGUUUAAUGAGUGUUCUUUGAAUACAGGUGCACUUCUGAGGCCUGUUCUCUGCCCAUCACAUUUUUGGGGGGCCAAUGACCACUUUAUAAUGUUAAAGUAAUGUCUUAUGGUGUAUUAGACAUGUCAUAGCUUUACCUAAAGCAAUCAAAGAUUACCUAGUAGUGGCUUAUAGGAAUGUUAUAACACCAUGAAAAAGAUUAUGAUGCACUAAUAGUGAUUUGCUGAUCCCAUGAUCCCAUUGGUCCCAUGUUUUG
ensembl:lncRNA